rnacentral:rRNA from 1 species
AGUGAACGCUGGCGGUAGGCCUAACACAUGCAAGUCGAACGGCAGCACAGUAAGAGCUUGCUCUUACGGGUGGCGAGUGGCGGACGGGUGAGGAAUACAUCGGAAUCUACUUUUUCGUGGGGGAUAACGUAGGGAAACUUACGCUAAUACCGCAUACGACCUACGGGUGAAAGCAGGGGAUCUUCGGACCUUGCGCGAUUGAAUGAGCCGAUGUCGGAUUAGCUAGUUGGCGGGGUAAAGGCCCACCAAGGCGACGAUCCGUAGCUGGUCUGAGAGGAUGAUCAGCCACACUGGAACUGAGACACGGUCCAGACUCCUACGGGAGGCAGCAGUGGGGAAUAUUGGACAAUGGGCGGAAGCCUGAUCCAGAAAUACCGCGUGGGUGACGAAGGCCUUCGGGUUGUAAAGCCCUUUUGUUGGGAAAGAAAAGAAGCAGGUUAAUACCCCGCUGUUCUGACGGUACCCAAAGAAUAAGCACCGGCUAACUUCGUG